rnacentral:rRNA from 1 species
UACGUAGGGGCCAAGCGUUGUCCGGAUUUAUUGGGCGUAAAGAGCUCGUAGGCGGUUGGGUAAGUCGGGUGUGAAAACUCCAGGCUCAACUUGGAGAUGCCACCCGAUACUGCUCUGACUUGAGUUCGGUAGGGGAGUGGGGAAUUCCUGGUGUAGCGGUGAAAUGCGCAGAUAUCAGGAGGAACACCGGUGGCGAAGGCGGGUCUCUGGGCAGUAACUGACGCUGAGGAGCGAAAGCGUGGGGAGCGAACAGG